GCUAUAUAAGUGGAGCAAGUUUUGUGCUGGAAACAACUGCCAGAGACUUUGCUAUGAACGCAAAAAGACUAUCUGAUGUGGCUAAGGGAUCCGCGAUACACAGAACUCCUAGAGAAGCUGAACGAUUCAGUGGCAAGAGGCCGGUCGUUCAAUGGAGCAAGAACUGGAUAAUUGGCAGGUGGAUCGCGUUGGUCUCUCUAGUCUUUUUUCUACUGGUAGUCGACAUACAAUCCUUCCAUCUUCUCCGUAAAUACAAUCCAGAAGACACAGUUUAUGGUUUGUUCAUAAUGGGGCUUGGGAAUCUGGUCGGUUUUAGUUUCCUAGGUUCGCAGGCUCAAGAACUAAUUCAAGAUGCAAAGAGCGCAUACAAUGUGCCUUCCUGGUGUUACGGGUUGGCGAGCUCCACAGCUCAUUGAAGAUCCAAGACCAGACUGGAAUGAGAUCGGACUUCGUGAUGUACAUGUACGACAUUUUAGUGAUCUGCCGGUUAUGAAAUUCGUCAGAAAAGCUUACUCUGAGCAAGUGUCUCCUUUGAAGGAAAAUCAUUUGUUUACAAAUGUUUGAAUGUGACAUAUUUCAAACAAUUUUGUUAUUAUUCCCCCUUUAUUGUAUAUGUUAUAUAAUUGAUCUA